UACGUAGGGACCAAGCGUUGUUCGGAUUUACUGGGCGUAAAGGGCGCGUAGGCGGCCUGGCAAGUGGAAGGUGAAAUCCCUCGGCUUAACCGAGGAACUGCCUCCCAAACUGCUUGGCUUGAGACCAGGAGAGGUGAGUGGAAUUCCCAGUGUAGCGGUGAAAUGCGUAGAUAUUGGGAGGAACACCAGUGGCGAAGGCGGCUCACUGGACUGGUACUGACGCUGAGGCGCGAAAGCGUGGGGAGCAAACGGG
rnacentral:rRNA from 1 species